rfam:Lottia gigantea unplaced genomic scaffold LOTGIsca_12, whole genome shotgun sequence.
AUACUUACCUGGUACGGGAGGCACCGUGAUCAGCAAGGCGGUCCUCCCAGGGUGAGGCCUUUCCAUUGCACACCGGAUUGGCUGACCCCUGCGAUCGCCCCAAAUGUGGGCGACUCGAGUACGUAAUUUUUUAGUGUGGGGGACUGCGUUCGCGCUAUCCCCUG